UAGUGAUUGGGAAAUGGUGGUGCGAGAUGGAGCCCUGCCUAGAGGGAGAGGAGUGCAAAACAUUGCCCGAUAAUUCUGGAUGGAUGUGUGCAACYGGCAAUAAAAUCAAGACUACCAGAAUCCAUCCGAGAACCUAACAGAGAACUGCCUGCGUGGAUACAGCGAGAGCCCGGCUGGCACACAAGGACAUGCAAGCGGAGGUGGGAAAGCCUCGCAGUAUCUCCAAGCCAAAUGGAUUUAUUUGCACUCUGAAUGGCGACUAGAUAACAACAGUGGCUUUACUGUGUGAAGAACGUAUUCUGUGGAAAUAACGUCCCCAAUUUUUGAUGUCUGAAAAGCAAAGAAAAAUGGUUCUUGGGUAAAGUUUCCAAGAUUCUGAAGUAUCAGACAACAGUAUUAAAUAUGGAUCUACAAUUUACUUUUUACCAUUUAAAGUAUAUAUUAAUAUAUAUUAAUACAUGAUAUUUUGAAAUAAAAGC